AUCUGUUUAACUUUCUGGCACCAGUUGAUAAAAAAAAAAUUAAAAAAAAAGUUUUCCACCAGAGUACCCCUUUAAUUUCACGUAGAUUUUUAAAACAACGCCCAUAUGACUUAAAAAUUGCCUGAAUUGUCUCACAGAUCCAUGUCAAAACCACAUGAAAUUUGCACCAAGUUCUACAUGAUGUGGAUUUGGUGUGAAGUCAAUACAUUUUGACUUCUCGAUUGAAGUCCAUAUUAUCAGAAAUUUCCCUCAGUUCUCCAGUUCAGUGGGGGUCAGCAGCACCUGUAAAGAGAUUGUUUAAGUGCUGAUGUGUAUACAGGAACUUUUUUUAAUCUCUUUUAUGUUCCCAUAUAGCCUUUAGAAAGUUUGAUUUAAAUUUAAAGUACGUAUAUAGUACUUACAAUUUUAUCUCAACCUACAAAGUGGUUGCUUUCACAACAAGUACCCUUUACAGUCUAUGUCCAUCCUUGCUACCAUCAUUUUUUAUUGCUUCAGAGCAUAUAAAAUGAAGAGGAAAAAAAAGGCAAAUGAUCCUUAUUGAAAAUAUAUUUUUGUGUCUACAGCCUCUAUGCAGAUCUAUGUGUUUCCAUGGAAACAGACUACAAACAAACCCUGUGUAGUCUAUUCCUGCAGUCACCUACAUUUUGGUAGUACAAGAAGUAAGGGGCAGAGGUUAUACAAUGCAUUUAGAAAGUGUUUAGACCCUUUUACCAUUUUUUUCAUUUUGUCAUGUUGCAGCCUUUUGCUAAAAUAAAAUAAAUUGAUUAAAAGUACCCCAUCAUUCUGCACUCAAUAAUGAAAACUGAAUUUUCGAAAAUGUUGUAAAUGUAUUUAAAGGAAAACCUACAUUUGUACAUGGACAUAAGUAUUCAGACCCUUUGUUCUGACACUUGAUAUUUAGCUCUGGGGGCCUCCAUUUCUCUUCAUCAUCUUUGAGAUGUUUCUACGCCUGUGGUUAAUUCGGGUUAUGGACAUGAUUUGGAAAGACACAGCCCUGUUUAUAUGAAGUCUCACAGCUGACAAUUGAUAUCAGAGCAAAAACCAAGCCAUGAGGGAAAAUAAUGCCUGUAGAGUUCAGAGACAAGAUUGUGUGGAGGAAGAGGUGUAGGGAAGGGUACAAAAAAUGUCUUCAGGGCUUCAGUCUCCACAAUUUGGGCUUUAUGGCAGAUUGUAGUACAAGGCGCAACAUAGCAAAUUGUAAAAGGUCUGGAGACUUUUCGAAUACACUGCGGGGGAGAUUUAUGGUAACCAAUCAGAUCGCUUCUUUCAUUUUUCACAGAUCUCUUUAAAAAUGAAAGAAGCAAUUACCAUGGGCAACUGCACCAAUCUUCCUCUGGACAGUUUUUGAUAAAUCUCUCACUGCAUGACUGCACAAUGGACUGUAUUAGAAGCUAUAGAUACAAAACAGUAGGGUAUUUUAAAAUAUUACAUUGGUUUUGAUGGUGGACAUAGCUUUCAGGGCCAGUGCUACACAACAUACAGCUGUUCACAAUUUUCUUACCAAUAGAAUUGAAAGGAAAAGUUGUGUAACAGUUAUGUUACCUUCACCUGUGUAGUUGGAGUGGGUUGCAUUUGUUUUUAUAAAUUGUGUAGCCCAAUUUUUUUUAUGGGUGCUGCCAUUGUCUAGCCCAGGCCUUAGGUUCUGAAUAUAUGGUUUAUAUUUAGCUGGUUAUAAAGCAAUGUACAUGUUUUACAGCAUGAAAUGAAAUGAAAAUAUAAAAGAAAAAAAUCUUUAGCAUAAAAAAUAUGUAGCUCUCUCUAAUCGAAUGUCAACCAAUGAACAAGACUUCCCUAAGCAAUUCACAUGGGCAAAUAUUAAGGAAAAUUUGAUCUACUUAGAACAUUUCCUCCCGUGUUGUUCACCAGGCAUGGAUAUUGAUUGCCGUAUUGACUGGAAACUUGAUGAAUGAUGUACUACAACAACAUAAAAAAAUGUAAAGUGA